rnacentral:misc_RNA from 1 species
UGCUCGCGCUGCUGCUCGCG